rnacentral:lncRNA from 1 species
UGGCACCUUCCUGGCGUCCCCUUGUUCAGACCUGCGAAUUCCCUCUCACCCUCUUCAUCCGCUGAAGGAGGCAGAAUCCCGGGAGCGCUCAUUUUAAGAGGCUGAAGCGAGAGAAGGUCCCUCCCACAACAGCCACAGCCAAGGGUCUCCGGAUGUCCCAAGAUGGAGGGAGACGUCCAUACCUGAAAUGACGCAGAUGAGCAGGAAACAGGCCGGGCAGCGGAUGGCCCUGGAGUCCAUGGUGCUGAAGCCUGGAGCGGAGAUGCAGGUGAAUGGAGCUAUUCAGAACCCUGCUUAGGAAACAACAGUCCUGCAGCCAGAAAAGGAGGGUCCCUAAGGACAGAGCAGCAGUGCUUGGAGGGAGCUGGAGCGGCCCCUGGGGGUCACAGGAGAGUCGUGGGGGCCUGAGGACAGAGCAGUUGAGCGUGGCUGGGAAGCAGAGCAGAACAGUACCAGAGAGAAGGGAAUAAGGGACCAGAUACAGCUCCUAAGGUCUCACCUUCAUGACCCAUCCUGACGCCCCUAGAAGUGUGCAGCUCCCAAGCUAAGAAAGACAAGCAAGCCGUAACUCUUAUGGAAGAAGCCAGGCACUGAGAGAAGCUGUAAGGGGCGCUGCUGCGGAGAAAAGCGUCUCCCGGGUUGUACUGGAAGAGUAUUUUGGGGGGUGCCAGACAUAGGGCGCUCAGAGGACCCUCUGAGACGGAAUACUACCUCGCUCAGACGGAGCCCAGGCAGAGCCGGAAGCUGCCAGCAGGUGGCAGGAUCCGACCGUUUCCAGCUUCUGGGGCAGCUUGAAUUCUCUCCUCCCUGUAAUCAGCUGAAAUCAAGGCCCAGAAAGGAGGUGAGGAAGUCCGGGGUCCCAGUCCACGGGCCUGCCCUAAUCCCGGCGUCGUGGCACUUCCCAGUCCUCCUCUCGGGCCUGGACGGCGCUGCAAGCCCUGGAGGCAGGGGCCGUCCUCUUCCUCCCCGGUUUGUUCCCGAGACAGCUCUGUGACACCUGCUUACUCCUCCUCUGAGCCCCGCCUCCUCCGAGCUUCAGACCAUUUCCUCUGGACGGUUUCUCAGAGGUGAGGCCGCGCCGAGGAGCAGACCCUUCCCCUCCCUCCCCUGAGCUUCCUGCAGCCCAGGAAGCAAGGCCGGGCUCUCCUGCAGGGAACUGGGCUUCGCAUUCUGCCCUGCCACUCUGGCUGGCUCUCUCGGAAUUUCACCUACUUUUGCUGCUAAUUAACUUAAAUCAAUCGCCAGCAC